rnacentral:rRNA from 1 species
GUAACGGAGGCGCUCUAAGGUUCCCUCAGCGCGGUCGGAAAUCGCGCUCCAGAGUGCAAAGGCAGAAGGGAGCUUGACUGCGAGACCUACAAGUCGAGCAGGGACGAAAGUCGGACUUAGUGAUCCGGUGGUUCCGAGUGGAAGGGCCAUCGCUCAACGGAUAAAAGCUACCCCGGGGAUAACAGGCUUAUCUCCCCCAAGAGUCCACAUCGACGGGGAGGUUUGGCACCUCGAUGUCGGCUCAUCGCAUCCUGGGGCUGUAGUAGGUCCCAAGGGUUGGGCUGUUCGCCCAUUAAAGCGGUACGCGAGCUGGGUUCAGAACGUCGUGAGACAGUUCGGUCCCUAUCUGUCGUGGGCGUAGGAAAUUUGAGAGGAGCUGUCCUUAGUACGAGAGGACCGGGAUGGACGCACCUCUGGUGUACCAGUUGUUCCGCCAGGAGCACCGCUGGGUAGCCAAGUGCGGACGGGAUAAGCGCUGAAAGCAUCUAAGCGCGAAGCCCCCCUCAAGAUGAGAUUUCCCAUUCCCCUGUGGAAGUAAGACCCCUUGUAGAUGACGAGGUUGAUCGGUCCGGGGUGUAAGCGCAGCAAUGCGUUUAGCUGACGGAUACGAAUCGGUCGAGGGCUUAUCCUAC